AGACUUUGGAUGGUCCAGACGGGAACUCACAGGGAACCAGAAAGCCCCCGCUCUGCACCCCUGCUGAGGCUGUACCCAUAAAGAGAAAGCGAUCCUGGCGAUACAACCGUGUCUGGACAAAGGACCAGAAGUGGACACGAGAGGGACUCGCCACCAGCGUACAACAGAAGGUGCCACUCCCCUCCAAAAAAGACCAACCCAAAC